rnacentral:rRNA from 1 species
UGGGGAAUUUUGGACAAUGGGCGCAAGCCUGAUCCAGCAAUGCCGCGUGCAGGAUGAAGGCCUUCGGGUUGUAAACUGAUUUUGUACGGAGCGAAAAGGUCUGCCCUAAUACGGUGGGCUCAUGACGGUACCGUAAGAAUAAGCACCGGCUAACUACGUGCCAGCAGCCGCGGUAAUACGGAGGGUGCGAGCGUUAAUCGGAAUUACUGGGCGUAAAGCGUGCGCAGGUGGUUAUGUAAGACAGAUGUGAAAUCCCCGGGCUCAACCUGGGACCUGCAUUUGGGACUGUAUAGCUAGAGUACGGUAGAGGGGGGUGGAAUUCCGCGUGUAGCAGUGAAAUGCGUAGAUAUAGGGAGGAACACCGGUGGCGAAGGCAAUCACCUGGACCUAUACUGACGCUCAUGCACGAAAGCGUGGGGAGCAAACA